UCAUUCACUUUUGAUUAGAAAUGGCGAACGUCAACGAAAAACUGAAACAAAAUUAAUGAAUUUUUGAUGAACUGUUAAUGAAGAGUAGUUCGUCAAAAGUAGAGGUACAAGUUCAGUGGUGCCAGACGGCGGACGCAAACGGCCCCCACUCUCGCGGCAAACUUACUCCUUCCAUUACACUGUAAAAAAGACCAAUGUUGAAUUACAAUCGGGUCGUUAAUUUUAAAUUUUCCAGUUUGUAAUUUUACUACGGUACACGUAAUAAUUUAACACCCAUAUAGUAUUUUCACAAUUAAAAAGUAAAAUUAUUACGCUUAUCGUUGUAAAUGUGUCACGCGUUAGUAAAUGUACAUCCCGAAUGUUUAAUCAUUUCGUGAUACAUUGGAAACUUUUCGCUUCACGUAUAACGUUGUAUGUUAGCAACCCAACCGUAAAAAUAUUUUCGUGUGUUAAGUAACUUACAGCUGAUAGUUUUACCGACAGUAUGUAGAAUUAUGUAGCUGUCUGUAAGUAUACAUUCGAAUAUGAUAUUUUUUGCCCGAAUGUUUUUCUACACUGCGUGACGAUGAAGUGGCAUAUAAGAAACUAUGCGCAUAGGCAAACGUUAAUAUUUUAAUUUUAAUUUAUUAAAAUUUCGACAAUUUUAAGAAUUUAAAGAUUAAAGGAAAUUUGUAAAGAAUAUCUUCAUGGACUCUAUUGCUUAAGCAGCUCGUAUUUUUUUAAAAUUAAAGUGGAAAAAGUAUUUGUUUUUCCUGUUCUGUUGGAGAAUUCGUUAACUUUGUACAAAUGACAAAAAAGCUACAAAUGUGAUUUGUAUAUUAUAAAUAUUUAAUAUAUUUAUUUAUUUCUUA